CAAGCCAAUUUCAAGCUAUUUGCUCCAUUUGUCUCUGUGUUUUUAACUAAAGAGCUCUUCUGCCUCUCUCUGGGGUUGCACUAUUUUGCAUUUUCGCCAAGGUUAUGGCCCAGCUGGAUCUACUUUAUUUGUAGCGGUUUAUGCAGGACUGGAAGUAUGCACCUGGAACUCUUUCUUGAGUAUAGUGCAUUUUAUUUUCAGCAAUACAUUUCAGCCUUAAUAUGGAUAAAAAAUAUAGUCUAGUUGUGAUGCAACCGUAGAAGUUUAAUUUAUUACUUUUUGAUAAAUUCACCAAUUCAAGACUUAUUUUAUGGGGUCCACAUGUGGAGUUUUGUUGUUUUAACGGUCUAGUUAUAUGUGUCUGAGUGUUAGGUUUUUUAACUUAAUUAUGUUGUUCUGAUUUCGGUUUUUUGUUUUUUAGGAUUUUGUUUUCAUUUCUUUAAGUUUAUUAAUCUAAUUGGCUCCUCUAGCUAGUGUUAAGGUAAUUAGAUGUUAUUGAGGUUGUAUUAAGUGGGAUAAUAAGUAUUAAGUCUAAGUGGGUUGUUGUUACGAGCUUGCAUAGAUUGAGUAUGUUGGAUUGGUUUACAAGUGGGGAUUAAUUUUGGUUGAGAGAUAUAAGAAGAGUAAAGUUUGCUUUGAGGAAAACUAGUGCAUAAACUUUCACUCCCUUUUCUUUUAGCCGAACCUCAAAUCUCAACACCACAAAAUCAUU